rnacentral:lncRNA from 1 species
CGGGGGGCUGACUUUCACUUUCGGGUCCCCUUUCCGCUUGCUGUACAGACUGCUGCCACGCCAGCUGCCUAGGUCACUCUUCUAUUCCAGGAAAAGCACACUACUUGCUUUAGCCAGAAGACCAUGGGGAUGGACACUCAGCAUCUCUGUAAUCAAUCUGUAAAAGCAGUAUGUUAGCCUUGGUGAUGGUUAGCUUUUGUGAUCAACUUGACAGUCUACAGACACCUGGGAGGAGAGCCUUCGUGAGACAUCAUCUGCUUUGUGUUGGCCUAGGGUGUGUCUGUGGGACAUUACCUUAUACUAAUGAUGUAGAAAGAGGCAGUCCACAGUGGGCAGCACCUCUCUCAAGCUAGCUGCUUCCAGUUCCUGCCUUGACUUCUCUACCAUGUGGAUUGUAAGGUGGAGUUGUGAGCCAAAUAAACUACUUUCCCCCAAGUUA